rnacentral:tRNA from 1 species
GCUUGGGUAGCUCAGUUGGUAGAGCACUUGCCCGCGGAAGGCAAAGGUCCCGAGUUCGAGUCUCGGUCCGAUACA